rnacentral:misc_RNA from 1 species
GAUGAAGAACGUAGCAAAAUGCGAUAAGUAAUGUGAAUUGCAGAAUUCAGUGAAUCAUCGAAUCUUUGAACGCACAUUGCGCCCGCCAGUAUUCUGGCGGGCAUGCCUGUUCGAGCGUCAUUUCAACCCUCAAGCACAGCUUGGUGUUGGGACUCGCGUUAAUUUGCGUUCCUCAAAUUGAUUGGCGGUCACGUCGAGCUUCCAUAGCGUAGUAGUAAAACCCUCGUUACUGGUAAUCGUCGCGGCCACGCCGUUAAACCCCAACUUCUGAAUGUUGACCUCGGAUCAGGUAGGAAUACCCGCUGAACUUAAGCAUAUCAAUAAGCGGAGGA